rnacentral:rRNA from 1 species
UACGAAGGGGGCUAGCGUUGCUCGGAAUCACUGGGCGUAAAGCGCACGUAGGCGGAUCUUUAAGUCAGGGGUGAAAUCCCGGAGCUCAACUCCGGAACUGCCUUUGAUACUGAGGGUCUCGAGUUCGGGAGAGGUGAGUGGAACUGCGAGUGUAGAGGUGAAAUUCGUAGAUAUUCGCAAGAACACCAGUGGCGAAGGCGGCUCACUGGCCCGAUACUGACGCUGAGACGCGAAAGCGUGGGGAGCAAACAGG